GACGAACGCUGGCGGCGUGCUUAACACAUGCAAGUCGAACGGAAAGGCCCUGCUUUUGUGGGGUGCUCGAGUGGCGAACGGGUGAGUAACACGUGAGUAACCUGCCCUUGACUUUGGGAUAACUUCAGGAAACUGGGGCUAAUACCGGAUAGGAGCUCCUGCUGCAUGGUGGGGGUUGGAAAGUUUCGGCGGUUGGGAUGGACUCGCGGCUUAUCAGCUUGGUGGUGGGGUAGUGGCUUACCAAGGCUUUGACGGGUAGCCGGCCUGAGAGGGUGACCGGCCACAUUGGGACUGAGAUACGGCCCAGACUCCUACGGGAGGCAGCAGUGGGGAAUAUUGCACAAUGGGCGGAAGCCUGAUGCAGCAACGCCGCGUGCGGGAUGACGGCCUUCGGGUUGUAAACCGCUUUCGCCUGUGACGAAGCGUGAGUGACGGUAAUGGGUAAAGAAGCACCGGCUAACUACGUG
rnacentral:rRNA from 1 species